GCUGGGAAUGUGGCUCAGUGGUAGAGCUUGCCUAGCAUGUGCAAGGCCCUGGGUUCUAUUCCUAUCCCCAGCA
rnacentral:tRNA from 1 species